rnacentral:misc_RNA from 1 species
AAAUCUCACGAGUUUUCUAGCCAGGAUAUUAGAUUCCUUCCGGAGAACCUGCUCAAUUCGCAUCAGAGUACUCAACAACUUGUGAAUGGCCCUUGUCUUUAUACAAUAGACCUUGUCCAGGAGAUCCUUUAAUAUACUUAAGAAUGCGAAUUACUGCAUUCUAGUGAUCACUGCUUGGAGCCUGGAGAAACUGGCUUACCACACUAACGACAAAUGAGAUAUCUAGUCAUGUAAUAGUAAGAUAAUUCAGCUUACUAACUAUCCUUCGAUAGUUGGUAAGCUGAAUUAUCAUGCCAGUGUCUAUAGGUUAAUAGUCUAUCAUUCCAGUGUCUUGAAGUAUGUCCAAAGCAUAUUUUCUUUGGGAAAUGACAAUAGCCUUUGUGGAUUAUGUCACCUCAAUUCCCAAAAAAUAUUUUAGUUUUCCCAAAUCUUUAGUUUGAAAGUGACUGAACAAAUGUUGUUUGAGACGAACAAUCUCAUCAUGGUCAUUUUCUGUUAUGACAAUGUCAUCAAAAUAAACUACCAGAUAAAUGCAUUUACCGUGAUAAUAAUGGCCAAAAAGCACUGAAUGAUCUGCUCCUCUCUGAGUCAUUCCAAACUGUUAGACUAUAGUACUGAAUCGACCAAACAAUGCCCUUGGAGAUUGUUUUAGACCAUAUAAUGCACAUCUUAGACGACAUACUAGGCUAGACAACCCCUGAGCAACAAAUCCUAGUGGUUACUCCAUAUAAAUCUCCUUAGCGAAUUCCCUAUGCAAAAA